GCUGCCUCGCAGUUGGUCGCCAUUUUGUGCUGCUGCGUUCCUAUUCGCCGCCGGGGCAUUGUGUUUAAUACCGGAGCCAAUCAGAGGGGCAAAAGCGUGGGGUUUUGCUACAUUUUCCAGAGAUACUGUUUACAUAUUCAAGUUAGUAAUGGAACAGUACACAGCGAAUAACAGCAAUUCCACCGAACAGAUCGUAGUUCAGGGACAAAUUCAGCAACAGGGUCAGCCAUUAAUGGUUCAAGUCAGUGGUGGUCAACUAAUCACAUCCACUGGUCAGCCUAUCAUGGUUCAAGCUGUGCCUACAGGUCAAGGACAGACAAUUAUGCAAGUUCCUGUCUCUGGAGGACAGGGUAUACAACAGAUACAGCUCGUUCAACCAAGUCAGCUCCAACUUCAAAGUGGGCAGGCUGUCCAAGUCCAAAACCAACAAGGUCAGGCACAACAAAUUAUUAUUCAACAGCCUCAGGCAGCUGUUACAGCAGGACAGACACAGAUCCAACAGUCGUCGUCAUCACUGCAACAGGGUCAACAGCAAAUAGUGCAAGGACAGCAGGUGGCACAGACUGCAGAAGGACAGACAAUUGUCUAUCAGCCAGUUAAUGCAGAUGGCACCAUACUCCAGCAAGUUGCAGUCCCUGUUACAGGCAUGAUCACCAUUCCUGCUGCCAGUCUAGCUGGGGCCCAAAUUGUCCAGACAGGAGCCAGCACAAGCACCACAAAUAGCAGCCAGGGCACUGUAACGGUAACGCUACCGGUCACUGGAAGUAUGGUCAAUGCAGGCGGUAUGGUGAUGAUGGUACCAGGGGCGAGCACCGUUCCAGCUAUGCAGAGAAUUCCCUUGCCAGGUGCAGAACUAUUGGAAGAAGAACCGCUAUAUGUAAAUGCUAAACAGUAUCAUCGAAUCUUGAAAAGAAGACAGGCAAGAGCCAAACUAGAAGCAGAAGGCAGAAUCCCGAAAGAAAGGAGGAAGUAUCUCCAUGAGUCACGUCAUCGCCAUGCAAUGCAGCGAAAGCGUGGAGAAGGCGGGCGCUUUUUUUCUCCCAAGGAGGGCGAUGAGAUAGUCAUCUCAGUCAGGCUGUGAAAAGGCGUAAGACAGAGAGAAGCCUGAAUGAUUUCUGGGUAGGCUAGAGAAAAAUCAAAAUAAGAAACACCAGCAGCAGAGUGAAGAAAUAAUGGGUCAGGUGAUCAGGGUGGCCUAAAUCUCUGCCUUAUGCAGCUGUUUUGAAGCAAGAACCAAUUAAAAUUGAGUCUCUCCUCAGUCCACUUCCUGCAUUGACUGCCUCUCCUGCAUUCCUGAAACUGAAAUGGAGUUUUAUAAUGAAAGUCUUCUCCAGAGAAAAAUGUCUUUUGUUGCAGAACUUUAAAAUUUAAAUUUAAAAUGUACUGGAGUAUAACGGGGACAAAACAUGCCAAUAGCAAAAGGACCUUGAACAAUUGUAUAGGCCAAAUGGAGGAAAUCAAUUUUAAAACUUUUCAGUUGUGAUGGUAUGUAGUCUACAUUAGUUGGGGAUGGAGAAGGGGAAAUCCAUGAUACUCUGUCCACUUGAAGGUUGGGGGAAGUAUAUCCUGUAAGUUUAUGUUAAUGAAGGACUUUGUGGGGUGGGGGGUGGGAG